AAGCCUGAUCCAGCCAUGCCGCGUGAGUGAAGAAGUGCCUUCGGGUGUGUAAAGCUCUUUCGCAAGGAAAGAAAACUUAUUCGCUAAUACCGGGUGAGGAUGACGGUACCUUGAUAAGAAGCACCGGCUAACUACGUGCCAGCAGCCGCGGUAAUACGUAGGGUGCGAGCGUUAAUCGGAAUUACUGGGCGUAAAGCGAGAACCCCGGCCGGUUUGGUAAGUCAGAUGUGAAAGCCCCGGGCUCAACCUGGGAACUGCGUUUGAAACUGCAAGGCUAGAGUAUGGGAGAGGGGGGUAGAAUUCCACGUGUAGCAGUGAAAUGCGUAGAGAUGUGGAGGAAUACCAAUGGCGAAGGCAGCCCCCUGGCCUAAUACUGACGCUCAUGCUCGAAAGCGUGGGGAGCAAACAGGAUUAGAUACCCUGGUAGUCCACGCCCUAAACGAUGUCUACUAGUUGUAGGUGGAGUAAAAUCCAUGAGUAACGCAGCUAACGCGUGAAGUAGACCGCCUGGGGA
rnacentral:rRNA from 1 species